rnacentral:rRNA from 1 species
UACGGAGGGUGCGAGCGUUGUCCGGAAUCACUGGGCGUAAAGGGCGCGUAGGCGGCUCUGCACGUCCGUUGUGAAAUCGCCCCGGCUCAACUGGGCGGGGGUCAGCGGAUACGGCGGAGCUUGAGCAAGCUAGAGGGCAAUGGAAUUCCCCGGUGUAGUGGUGGAAUGCGUAGAUAUCGGGGAGGAACACCAGUGGCGAAGGCGGUUGCCUGGGGCUUUUGCUGACGCUGAUGCGCGAAAAGCGUGGGGGAGCGAGUCCGGAA